AGGAAGUAGUACAAGUGUAGAAGUAUCAUGAAGCGUCACUUGUUCAUGCCACGUCCGUUGACAUGAAGUGUCCCACUGGCACUUUAUUUCAGUGAUAAUCGUGCUGAUGCGGUGGGGAACUGACACUGCAGUAAGUCAAACCUGCUUACAAAUUUGCUGAAGGCAAUCCAGCUAUAUAUAUAGUCAACUGACCGGAUGUUCGUCUAACUCAUGGUGUUCACCAAUUUUUUGGAGGCAUUUCCAUGUGUGACACAAUCUCCCAGGAAAACCUGACCACUCCACGGUGGCUUGACAUUUUUAUUUGCUUUAGUUUUCGUGUAAGCAGCUGGAUUCAUUUAGUCUGAGGCUGACGCUUGGAAUUGUGGGAAAUGGUUUGUUGUUACGUUUUGAUCCGAGUCUCCAGGUGGAUGGAACGUUAGCAUAGACAUGUGUGGAAGACAGCCAGCUUGUCUGGCAGCAUCUCUGGCUGCUGUUGACCUUGUUUUUGGAGUAAGACACGGUGGAAGCUGAAUUAGUGAGGAUGACUCCUGCUCCUGUCAUCUCUAAGCUCCUCACACAUCUUUACCUGCACGUGAGGAAAAUCCCUCCUGUAGAAUGCAGUGGUUCAUCAGGACCUCUGAGGAUGUCCUGUGGGUUGCAGAGCGGGUCCUACCUAGACCAGGCUGAUCCUGGACCAUCGCACAGAUGCUCAAUCAGAUCUGCAUGUGGGGAGUGUGGAACCCAGGUGAACAGCUGAGCUCUGUCGUGUUCCUCGGACCACUCCUGAGCAGUUUUAGUUUGUCCUGCUGAGGGUGGCAGCUGGCAUCAAGGACUGCUGUUGCCAUGGAGACUGGGGGGUUGUUUGUCCCACAGUGUUCCGGUGGUGGUACGUGUCAAACAUCCACAUGAACGUCAAGGUUUCCCAGCAGAACGUUUCAUUAGAACAAGAUGAUGGAUGUUGUUGUCUUCAGCUGUCAGUGGUCAGAAUGUUGUGGCUGAUCGGUGGAUCUGUCUGCCUUUACUUUGACAUCCAGAGUUACACAAAAGUGUAGUAUGUGUGCAAUGCAGCAGAGAUUUACUUUAUUGUAUGCAGUUUCCGUGGUCCCAUCAGAGAAAAUCACAUCCAUAUUCCGAUUUUUUUUUUUUUUAAAUUAAUUCCAGGUCUGGUUCAGUAAAGAUUCUAAUAAUGACUACAUCAGAUAAUUCUUUGUCGCAGCUGGAAUUUUGCACACUGAGAGAUGGUUGAGAAGGUUUGCAGUUUUUUGGCAAAAUAUGUUAGAAUAGAAGAUCUUGAUUGUUAUUGUACAUGAAAUUAUCUGCAAACCAGCAAAGUGCAUCAAUCUGAGGUAUCUAAAAAUAAAUAAGUCAAGAAAAAUGCUUCUAAAGCCAAUAACAAGCAGAAUAUUUUGAGGGAAUAUUCUAAAAAGGAAAGAAAAGCUCCAUUCUCACUCCUCUCAGGAUGAACUGUCAUUAAAAUUGGCUUUAAAUUUCACUUCAACACGAGAUCAAAACAUUUACUUUCAUUACUGAUGUUGUCCAGUUUUUAAAAAGUUCAUGCUACUUUUAUAAAAUGAUGAAAGUGAAUAAAUUGUAUUUCCGUGAUCUGUGUUUGAUUUCUGUCUUUUCUCCUGUCGUCCAGAUGUUCAGAGGGAGAUGAUGCCACAUCUGGUCCGGCCGAUGGAAGGUCUUGAAGUUCUCUGUGGAUGGUCCUCUCACUGGAUUUAAGGUUCAGAUGCUCAGGAACAAACUGAGCCGAUAAUUAAAUGUUGCUACGAAGGUAUCGCUGUUUUUCUUUGUGAAUGCAAAGUGCUCCGAACUGAAACUUGAAUUAGAACUUGGAAGUAAAUCCUUCCAUCUGAAAGGAUCUAGUUGCAUUAAUAACCUCAUAACGUUCUAAUUUUUAUUCCAGUCCUGGUUGGAAAUAGAAUCUCUGUAUUGAUUCAGGUAAAAACUGAACUUCACAGCAUGUUGGAGCAAAACAAGCAGAUGAAAAGUGUGAUGGUGUUGGAUUGUCAGACCGUAAUGUUGCAGCUCAAAGCAGCUUUUCUAUCUCACUUCAUUCUGACAUUCAGCUCUGAAUCAACAGCAGAUCCAGUUGAUGGUGAUCCAUGCUGUGGAAGUCUCACGUCUCCUCAUUUAAAUACACUGUUUAUUCACCAACACUUUAUUUAAUAAAAGUCCCAUUUAGUUUUUAUGAGGAAUGUGAUGUUUUAAUUUUUCUGUGAAUAACUGCAGUCUGGUGGAACAGCUGGAGUUGUAACAUCUGUCCUGAUAUUGAUCAUGAAGUAUUGAUCAGAAUACUUUUGGUUAGCCAUCAUCCCUGAAGUUUUACAUUUAAAAAAAUCUUUACUUGUGUUGUGAACUUUGGUAAGAAGCUGAAACUUUAGCGUUGCCAUGGAUACAUGAGUGUUAAAUUCAGUCCAUGUUUCAUUUUGGGGUGCAGUCCAGCAGAUGAGUUUGUUUUUACUGACAGCUACCAUUCAGUCUGAGAUAUUAAGAAUAAAUAAAUGUGGAAAUGAACAGAUUUUACUUUUAUUUAUUCCUACAGCUGUUGCAGUCAAAGUUCCAGAAUGUGGAGGAAUUGUCUCACAAUCACAGACAAUCAAUAUUAUGUGAAA